AUCACCUGACAAGCCUACUCCUCAGAAAAACACUAAACAAGCCUCAAUGAACAUUGACAAAAUUGUAUAUAUUGAUCCACAAGAAAACAUGGACACAACAAACCUCCUUAUACAGGUCAAACAACUCAUUAACCCAAGACAAAAAAAAAUUAGAGUAGAUAACAUACUAAUAACAGCUAAAGGAGGAAUAGCUAUUAAAACGGAAUCAACUGCUGAUCGACAGGCAAUUUUUACUAAUCAACAGCUACAACAAGCUCGGUUCACGGCAUGCAUAGCCACUAAAUGACACCCUAGUUUGCUAAUCCUCAGAACACCGAAAGAACGCCUACACAAAUUGCAGAACAACUCGUUGCACAUAACAGCGCAGAAGGAAUAUGGAUGCCAAACGCAGUGAGACCUCUUUUCACUGUAAGAUACGGAGCUGGCACAAGACAAGAUUCUCAAUUUGUGCCCUGGGUCGUGGAGGUAGACCCGAAAACUUGGAAAUCCGCCAUCGACAGGGGAAAAGUGUAUUUAGACUACCAGUCAUGUGUAGUGAAAGAAUACUCUGGUGUUACGCGUUGCUACAACUGCCAGUUAGUUAUACGGACACGUUGCAGCCAACUGCCUGAAAAAAGAGCCGACUUGUGGUAUAUGUGCUUCAAAUCAUGACACCAGAAGCUGUGACAGGUCAAAAGUAAAGUGCGCGAACUGCCUGAAUCAAGGUCUCAAUAACAGCAAUCACCAUGCAGGCUCAAAACUGUGCCAAAUUCAUAUGAAGGCUCUCACUAGAGCACGGAACAUAACGGAUUAUGGAGAUGAGACAAACACCACGGACAUAACAAAAAAUACAAUAACGGUACAUCAACCCAGCAAAAUAGUCGAGCAUAAUUUAAUAGAUAUGGACACUGACAACACACAAGAAAACACUGCACCAAACGCACAAUGAUCGAUAUCAACAGGGAACAUAUACGCAGCACAAUUGGCCCAAGUAUAGACCCAAUAAAAUUUCUAAAAAUUGCUCAACUAAAUUGUCACGGCUCAGAAAUUGUCAGUUGCGAGGCGAGAGUCCUAGCUCAAAACCAAGAAAUAAGCAUUCUCUUGGUCCAGGAACCGUGGCGUCAGGGCAUCGACAGAGCCAUGGGCUGUAUAGCAAGGGUGGUCAGAUGGAAGGAUCCUGUCCGAGUUAGGGCAGCGAUUUACAUCACGGACAGAAACAUUAAGAAGCUUGCUGGAAAACAAUCAAGACAUGGCAUGUUGCCUCAUCGAGUGGGCUGGCGAGCAAAUUAUACUCGCAUCUGUCUACUUUGACAGACGCCGAGAUUUUCAGGAGGAUGUGUAAACCUUCUCUUCCUCUUUAAUAAGAAUCUGAUGAUAAGCCGAUUUUAAAUCGAUACUACUAAAAACUUUAUACCGUGCCACAUUAUUGACGAUUUCUUCGAUUCGGGGCAGAGGGUAAGCAUCGAGUUAACCUAUUGAUAGUUUUGGAAUAGUCGACGACCAUACGCUUUUUGCGGUUAUCGGUGCUAACGAGUGCUUGCGCCCGCCACGGAGACACACUUUCCUCUAUGAUGCCUUCCUUUAGGAGUCGAGUUAUUUCUUCACGGAUAAACUUUUUAUCGUGUUCCGAAUAACGCCCGCUACGGGUUUAACAUCGGGUGUCAGAUUGGCGAAUAGUGACACAGGAGUUACUUUCGCGGCCUUUAUACUACAAACAGUGAUUGAUUCUUUAUUCCCGCCAAAGGAAAGGGCUACGCUACGGUGCUGCCUCAUUAUAUCGUGACCAAUGAUUGCAUCUGCACAUAGCUCCUGUAGAACGUUUAGUUUUGCAUGGUAAUAGUGGCUCUGAAAUCUAAGAUUAACCAUACUAAACCAUUUAAUUUCUGAUUUAGCCGAUUUGGUUGCCAGACUUACUUUACUGGUGGCCUUAGUCAUGGGUAAUUUGUGAUAUUUUAAAUAAUCAGCAUUGAUAAAACUUUCAGUGCUGCCAGUGUCCAUUCAUUAAUUUCGACCUUAACAAUAGCUUUCGAAAGAGAAGAUGGGGCGGCCGCUAAAAUAGAUGCGGAAGUUUUUCUUUGAUAUUGAUUUUGUCUCUUAGCAGUUAUGCAGACUUUAGAAAAGUGACCCUUUUUCUUACAGAAGUGGCAAGUAGCCUCCCGAGCUGGACAGAUAUUACGUGAAUGCUUGUGAUUACCACAAAAGAUGCAAGUUGAUGAUACUGUAGCAGCUGUAGGUGAGUCAGUUGGAGUGCCGGAAGUGAUUUCAACUUCUUCAGUUAGUUUACUCAUAGAAUUGACACUUGGGGGCUCUAUACCGGAAAUAAGAUUGCGAUUGUUUUUGAGCCAUGUCGAGGCCCAGUUUGUACCCUCCCACCUGGCCUGAUCGAGAGCAGUUUGUAGAGUAAGUUGAGAGUUUUCUAACAGUCUCAGGGGGAUAUGAUUUGAUUGCAUACCCGAAAUAAAGGCAUCACGAAUAGACUCAUCUCGAUGUUGCUCGGCCGUGACUGAGCAAAAGUUGCAGUCUUUACUGAGUACUUUUAAAGCUUGUAAAAAUUGAUCUAACGACUCACCGGGUAGUUGUCGUCUUGUGGCUAGCUGAUGUCUUGCAAAGACUUCAUUGCUUCUUUUGACAUAUAACGAAUGUAAGGUAAAUAUCGUCUGAUCAUAACUUUUACAUUCUUCGAUAAGUUCGUAUACAUCAGGAGAUAUAAGAUUUAUAAGAUAAUCCAACUUUACUUCUUCAUCUUCGACUUGCGACCUUUUGAUAAAUGAUUUAAAGGUUCUAAACCAGUGAUUCCAGAGUUUAGAGGCGUUAGAAGCGUCUGGUUCUACAUUGAAUCUUUCCGGUUUAAAAGUUUCCAUUUGAUGUUUCGUAGACAUACUUAUGCUAAUUAAAUUGUUAUAAUUGAAAACACCUUAUGAGAAAUUAAGGCUUUAAUUAGCAUAAGAAAUACAUGUAGUAAAGAAAACAACACACUGCCAAAAUGAUCAACAACAUAAAGCAAAUAGACCAUUUUAGUUUAUUUUUAUAUUUCCUUUUCCUUCGUUAACGUCCAUAAUAAUUAACUUCCUUUCCAAUAUUGAAUAAACCCCAAAAAACAAAUCAUACAAAAACAUCAGAAUACAACACACGAAACCAUUAUGUGACCACAAGAAGAGGACCACAGUUUAUGACUCUGGGGUUCUUCAAUCUGUCUUUUCUUCAUUUGUUAUAUUCAAUCGGCUGGUAGCGGUUUAAUAUUUUACAACUUGAUGUUCUUCACAACAGCAUUUAAUAAUGUCGGGGCUUGGCUCACCCACUUCGAUCUUGCACCGAACUUUAGUGGAUUUCUCAUCGGGUUUUCCAAAACGAUCGGCAACAUACCAGUAUUAUUGGGGCGUAUGUUCAUGACCAGUGUGCUGAUGAUUGACAUGCAGGAGAAAGACUGGUGCUUAUAUUAUUUCUUUGCUGGUGUGUCCCUACUAGUUGGAAAUUUCAUGUAUAUAGUCCUAGCUAAUGACGAGUUGCAGAAAUUUAACAAGAUAAUAAGCCUUGAUAAUGGUGCGUAUACUUACGACCAGUAAUUAACAUACACUCAUUAUCACAAUUAUUUUCUUUAGGGGACGAUUCUACGACGAAGUUAACUUCUACAAACUAAAACAGUGAAA
rnacentral:misc_RNA from 1 species